GGCCAGAUGGCGGAAUUGGCAGACGCGCAGGACUCAAAAUCCUGUAUGGGCAACCAUGUGAGGGUUCGAUUCCCUCUCUGGCCA
rnacentral:tRNA from 1 species